rnacentral:rRNA from 1 species
AACGUAGGUGGCAAGCGUUAUCCGGAUUUACUGGGCGUAAAGGGUGUGCAGGCGGGAAGACAAGUGGUGUAUGAAAUCUCCCAGCUUAACUGGGAUAGGUUAUGCCAGACUGUCGUUCUAGAGGACGAGAGAGGGGGGUGGAAUUCCGGGUGUAGUGGUGAAAUGCGUAGAGAUCCGGAGGAACCCCAGAGGCGAAGGCGGCCCCCUGGCUCGUACCUGACGCUCAGCCACGAAAGCAUGGGGAGCGAACGGG